GCUUCAAAUGAUGGCAGUAAAGCAAGUGAAAUCUUUCGAGGUCAAGUUCACUUGUACAAACACUUGUUUGCCCAUACAAUAGAUGCUAUGAGUCUUAAAUGGAUGGUUGAGCUUAGCAUACCAGACAUAAUCCACAACCAUGGUCAACCUAUUACAUUUCAAAAGUUGGUGUCCAUUCUACAAGUUUCACCAACCAAAGUUAGAGGUGUGCAGAGUCUCAUACACUACCUAGCACACACUGGAUUCUUUGAGAUAGUUAGUGUCCAUGAGAAUAUGGAGGAAAAGGAAGCAUAUGCUCUAACUGCUGCAUCACAGCUUCUUGUCAAAGACAGUGACCUUUGUCUAGCACCAACGGUAGAGGGUUUUGUUGACCCAGGUUUAACUGGUGUAUGGUCUAACCUGAAGAAGUGGACUUAUGAGGAUGAUCUCACACUAUUUGGUGUCUCAGUAGGAUCAAAUCUGUGGGAAUUUCUUGAUAAAAAUCCUGCAUCUGACGAGGCAUUCAAUGAGACAUUGGCUGCUGAUUCUAAGAUGAUGAACAUGGCAUUGAAAGGUUGCAAUUGGGUGUUUGAGGGAGUGGAGUCCAUUGUGGAUGUUGGCGGUGGAACUGGAAUCACAGCCAACACAAUAUGUGAGGCAUUUCCUAACAUGAAAUGCAUUGUGUUGGAACGUCCACGUGUUAUAGAAAACUUGUCAGGAACAACAAUUUGACAUAUGUUGGUGGAGACAUGUUUAAAUCUAUUCCAAAGGCUGAUGCAGUUCUACUUAAGGUAUGCAUUUCUAGACAAAUAUUUACUAAACCUGUUUAACUAUACCAAAUUUAUCUAUUCUAAAUCAUAACUCAUUUCUCACACGAGCAGGGCUAGCUCUAGGCCUAGUAGUUAUUGGGAGAAGUGGUGACUUAGAUCCCAGUUUAGGAGAGAAACAAUGAAAAAUCCACUUGCAUUACCUUUUUUUUCUGUUUAGUUUUUUUAUAUAUUUUGUUUCAUGUUUCUUUUUAUAUUAAAAUAUUCAAAGUUGUUGUUUUUUGGUUAUUAGUGUUUUUUUUUAUGGGUUAUGUUUAUAAAUUUAUUAUGAUAUAUUAUUCUAUUAGGGGUGACAAUGAGGGUUUGUCUUUUAUGUAUAGACUCAUCCCGCAUAGACCAGUUCCACAUUUGGUUCAUAAAAUGUGGAUCGAGUUGGUCUGUUCCGCGCUCAUUUCAAUGGCCCGCUUAUGUGGUAAUCCACGGGCUUGCAGGCCAGCUUGUAUAAUAAUUUUUUUUUUAAAUUAUGUUGGAGGUCCAACAUCGACUAGAGAUUAGAGUAUUUCAUUGUAUAUAAGUGAGUGCAAACCUCAUCCCAUGAGCCGGUUUUAUGAGGUUGAGUUAGGCUUAAAGUUCACUUUAUAAUAUGAUAUCAAAGCCAUUUAAAGCCUAUCCUAACGAAUGUUUGUUGGGCUUAUCAGGUCACCCCUAUCGGACCGUUAUUGGACCAUCCAUAAUAUGUUAUCUCAUCCCAUGAGUCGGUUUGAUGGGGUUGAGUUAAGUUUAAAGUCCACUUUGUAAUAAAUUAAAAUUUCAUUAAUUAUAAAAAAACUUAUUCCUAUAUAUCUAUGUAAUGUAUAAGAGUAUCUUAUUAAAGUUUUGCUACAAAAUAUUUUAAUGAAAGAUGACUAAUUUUUUAACCAUUCUAUUAAAAUAUCUUCUUUAUAUUAUUUUUUAUUAACAAAUUUUAAAUAUAAGAUUUUUCUUAAAACUAAAUUCUCUGUCAUUCUUAAUACUAACUCUUUUAGAUGAUUAAAAUAAAAUAUAUUUUUUUUAGUACAUUAGAUUCAAUUUUUAAAAAUAAAAUAAAGGUCACACUACAAUAAUAAUAGAUGUAUGAGAUAUGUUUUUUUUUUUUAAAAAAUUAUUAUUUUUUUAUUUAUGCGGAUCAACGUACCUACCUACUUUGUCCCAUAAUUUCCAUCAAUUUAGCUAUGAUCAUACUUAGAAUAAAAGUACUUCUUUUAACAACAACCACAAACCUAAAUUGAAAUUGUAAAAUAUCAAAGUUACAAAAUUAUUAUUAUAUUAACAAAUAAAAAAAAUUAUACUUAAAGUUUAACGUGAGGCAAUUUUUUUUUUAAAAGAUAGCAUAUAAAUUAAAUAAAAAAUACGGUAUAUCUUUUCUACAUUUAUUAAAUUAUAUUAUUGAUUUAAUAUAACAAAAUGUUGUUUUUCGUGAAUUCUUCUAUGUUCAGUGUGCAAUGUAUUUGUAAAUAGGAAUACAUAUUUAAUAUUUUGUUUCACGUUAUUGAAAUUUGAAGAUUAGGAGGGCAUAUCUUAUUAACAAAUUUGUAAUCUUGAACCAUUCUUAUUCUUGCAGAUGGUUUUACAUAAUUGGAAUGACAAGGAUUGUAGAAAGAUAUUAGAAAAUUGUAAAGAAGCUAUUUCUGAUAAAGGUAAAAGGGGAAAAGUAAUUGUUGUAGAUAUUGUGAUGAAUGAAAGCGAAGAUGAGGAAGAACUUAAUGAACUAAAACUUCUCUAUGACGUAAGGAUGACAUGUCUCAUUAAUGGAAAAGAGAGAAAAGAAGAAGAGUGGAAGAAACUAUUUGUGGAAGCAGGAUUCCAGAGCUAUAAAAUAUCCCCUUUCACAGGAUAUCUCUCUCUUAUUCAGAUAUAUCCUUGAAUACUAAACUUAUGAUGCAUUUCAUAGUUACUUUGCAUGCGUGUUUGUGAUAAUCUUGCAAUGUUUAUUUUUUGGUACCAACAAAAGAACUUGUUAAAAAAUGUGACAAGAAUUAAUAAAAAACAAGAAUAAAAAAUAUGUCAUUUAAUUUGAUGUGUGAAAAUGUAUGUUCUAUCAAUGAAUCUCGUGUGAAAGUGUAUGUUCUACUUCACUCUUAUGAGUUGUAACUUUUAUACUUUAUUAAUAUAAAUUAUUUUCAAUGUUUUUUUUUUUUUAAGAAACUAAUGUUAUUGUUGGUAGAAAUUUGAAUAAAUUAAAAAAUAAACAAUUUCAAGAAUGUUCGAAUCCAUAUUCAAAUAUUUUUCUCACUUUCAAGGAAAAAAAACAACACAAAUCAACCUGCAUAAAUAGAAUACUGCUGGCUUUGAAGUAGACUACUGCUCACCAACAACUGGAGUAUGCAGACCUCUGAGAUGCCCAUAGAUCCCUUCUGAACUGAUAAAUUUAGUGUUUAUAAUUGACCAUACAUCAGUUGUCACUUUGUUAAGAAUUGAACUUUAAGUCUAACUCAACUCCGUAAAACUGGCUCAAUGAAGUGAGGUUUGCACUCACUUAUAUAAUAUGUAAAGCUCUAAUUUCUAGUAUAUGUGAAAUCUCCAACACAUUUUCCUGCAUCGAAUUCUCCAAAUAUUUCCAGCUCCAUAAGCAUAAUUCUAAAUAGCUGCCUAAUAUCACUUCCAGUCUUGAUCUGCAUCUUUGCACCUUCACUCCAUUCUUCCCAAGUUUGAUUCAGGUCCAUCUAUUGCAAAAACAGCUCCUCUCAUGCUCAAAGCUGAACUGCUGCAGACUCUCUCGGUACUGCAUAAUGCAUAUUAAUCUGUUCUCUCUCCAUCUAACAAACAACCACAUUACCAAUACGAACACCAAAAACAGAGAAAAACUGCACAUUGCUCCCUGCACAAUAUAACAACACUUUCUAAACUGCAUAAUUAUGCAGUGUACAGCAGAGAAUGACAUGCAUCCUCCCUUUAUUUGAUUUGGGGAAUACAUGUUGAAAUCUAUUAGUAAGCGUUACAAUAAAAAUUGAAUAAAAACAAAUUUUAGAAAAAAAAUAAUUAAUUGAUAUAAUGACUAAAUUAGAGAUUAUUUUAUUAACAAAAAUAAUUUUUUAUUUUUAGAUUAGUUUAUAUUAUUAUUAAAUAGUUUCUAAAUUUAUUUUUUGGUAAUUAAACAUCUUAUUAUCUCUAUAAUUGUUCCGUGCAACUUUAAGUGAAUAAUAAAGAUGUGUUAAAUAUAGAAAUUCAUUUUAAGAUGUUGACAUUGUUGUGGAUGCAUGGUUAAGUUAACAAAGAUAUGGAUAGAAAGUUUCUAGAAGUAAGUUAAUAUUAAUUUUGUUUUUAAUAAUUUUUAGUUAUUUUUCUAAGUACACAUGUCUAGUUUUUAUUUUGUCUUUUCUUAUUCUACCAUUUAUUGAUUUUUUUGUUUUACAUUAUAUCUCUUUAAGUAGACUUAAAAUGAGUGUAUUGUUUAUAUAUAUUUAGACUUUCUCAUUUGAUUUAAGUAAGGAAAAGAAAAAUAGAACAAAUAGAUAUUCCUUCUCAUAUUUUUUAUUUCUUUUUUCUCUUUUGUUCAUCUUUUAUUGCUACGUUAUUAAUUAUUUUACUAUGACACGCAAAUACUUGAGUUUAAUGGUUAUUUAAGUGCUAUUUUUUUUUAUAAUUAAUCAAUCAGAAGGUAUGGUGUUAUAAAUUUUGGACAAUAAAAAGAGAAUAAUUUUUGUUUUAUAAGAAAUAAAUAUAGGGAAUUUAAGAUAAAUAAAUAUUAGGGUGUAAGCAUUUGUAAGUUAGGAAGAUUUAGUUUUCUAUUCACACAUUUUUUUUUACAUAUUUGUCUCUAAUUAUUCAAUUUAUUUAGAGUUGCCAAUCAAAUAAAUUGUUUUUUAAUCUUUAUCUGUCCAAUUCUCGAGGAUAUUCUUAUGAAUUUGUAUAUAACUUUUUAUACAAUCUCAUAUUUUUUUUAAUCUUUUUUAUAUAUUCUCGGUAUAUACUUUCGUUCUUCAAACCAAUGGCUUUGAGCUGUAACAUAUAUGAAAUCAAGUGGAUUUUCUUUUCUCCCAUAAUUCUCCACUAUUGUACAUAAAAUUAUAUUUCUUAUUGAUUUGUGUAUUUUUUUUUUCUAUCCAUGGAUAGAUAUAUCUUUAUAAGUUAUUAUAGCUUAUUAACUAAGUUCAUUUAAAUUUGUAUUGUGACUAACAUGAUUACUGUAAAAUAGACAAUUCAAAAAACGAAUAAAAUAAGAUAUUCAACUAAAUAAAGUAUAAGUAAGUUUUCUUUAUAACCAAUGGCAUUAAUUAUUAUUUUUACUUUAUUUUUGUAAAUAUACACGAUCUUUUUCUUUAUUUGACAAAAAGAGAAGGUUUUUGUAUAGAGGAAUUUCUUUAUAUACAAGAGUCUAUUUUGGCAAAUAAAUUUUAAAUUUAUUUAAUUAUUAAUUAAAUAAUUAAAUACUUUAUCAUGUUAAAGAGUCAUUUCAAAAUAAUAUACUUCUUCAAUAUUUCUUUUUAAAUACUAAAUUAUAAUUUUUUUAUUAACAAUAAGUAAAUAAAAUUAGACAAGAUAUCUCAACUCUUUUACAAACAAAACUAAAACAAUUUAUAUUAGUCAAAUAGAGACUAAACUGCAAAUUUCCUACCAAAAGUUUACAAUUAAAAGGAUAUGUAUUAAGUUGCUAUCCAAUUAGUCAAUAUAAUGAACAUAGACCAAUAUUAUGAAUAUCAAAACAGUUAUUAAGAUAUUUAUAGUUCAAAAGUACGUAACUAUAAAAAAUCAUAAAUACAGACCAAUCAACCCUCCAAUUCAAAAUUCCAUUUCUUAUACUAUUUUUACUUUUGAACUUUUCCAAUGUUUUUCUUAAAUAGAUAUUAACCAAGAUUCCAUAAUCUUCAAUAAUUUAAUUUGCAACAAAAAUAUACGGUACCAAAUACAUGAGCACUUGCCGUCCAAACGGUUUACUUAAAAUAAAAAGGCUCAAUAGUUUAUUUGUACUGUCAGUAUAAAAGAUUUUGCGUUCAAGUUGAGUACUUAUGAUAUCAGCACUUUUUAACUCAUUCAUUGCAUUUUGAAUUGGUCGAAAGUUUAAAACUAGAGUUUCUAAGAUAUCAAUUAUAGCUCAUUCAAACUUUAUAUAAGGGCACCAAAUUCUGAAACACAACAAACACAACCAAAUCACAUGCAAUUAUGGCUUCAAAUGAUGGCAGCAAAGCAAGUGAAAUCUUUCAAGGUCAAGUUCACUUGUACAAACACUUGUUUGCUCAUACAAUAGAUGCUAUGAGUCUUAAAUGGAUGAUUGAGCUUGGCAUACCAGACAUAAUCCACAACCAUGGUCAACCCAUUACACUUCCAAAGUUGGUGUCCAUUUUACAAGUUUCACCAACUAAAGUUAGAGGUGUGCAGAGUCUCAUACACUACCUAACACACACUGGAUUCUUUGAGAGAGUUAGUAUCCUUGAGAAUAUGGAGGAAAAGGAAGCAUAUGCUCUAACUGCUGCAUCACAGCUUCUUGUCAAAGACAAUAACCUUUGUCUAGUACCAAUGGUAGAGGGUUUUGUUGACCCAUGUUUAGCUGGUGUAUGGUCUCACCUCAAGAAGUGGACUUAUGAGGAUGAUCUCACACUAUUUGAUGUCUCAGUAGGAUCAAAUAUGUGGGAAUUUCUUGAUAAAAACCCUGCAUCUAAUAGACUAUUCAAUGAGAUAUUUGCUGCUGAUUCUAAGAUGAUGAACAUGGCAUUGAGAGGUUGCAAUUGGGUGUUUGAGGGAGUGGAGUCCAUUGUGGAUGUUGGUGGUGGAACUGGAAUCACAGCCAAGACAAUAUGUGAGGCAUUUCCUAACAUGAAAUGCAUUGUGUUGGAUCGUCCAAGUGUUGUAGAAAACUUGUCAGGAACCAACAAUUUGACAUAUGUUGGUGGAGACAUGUUGAAAUCUAUUCCAAAGGCUGAUGCAAUUCUACUUAAGGUAUGCAUUUGCAAACAAAUAUUUACUAAACUUGUUUAAUUAUACCAAAUUUAUUUAUUCAAAACCAUAACUCAUUUCUCGCACGAGCAGGGCUAGUUGGGAGAAGUGGUGACUUAGAUCCCAGUUUAGGAGAGAAUAAUGAAAACUCCACUUGCAUUACCUUUUUUAACUACAAAUUAUUUAGUUUCUAAAUUUGGUCUCUAAAACCUUGGUUGCUAAUUAGAUACCAAUUUAGAAACUAUUUAACAAUAAUAGAAACUAAUAUAGAAACCAAUUUUUUUUUAGUUUAUAAAAUGGUCUCCAAUUUAGUUACUAUUACAAUUAAUUAUUUUGGUAUCUAAAAAUUGGUUUUUAUUUCAUGAUUUUCUUGUAGUGUUAUUACUUUAUUUCACAUUAUUGAAUUUUGAGGAUUAGGAUGACAUAUGCUAUUAACAAAUUUGUACUCCUCUACAUUUUUUUCCUUGCAGUUGGUUUUACAUAAUUGGAAUGACAAGGAUUGUAGGAAGAUAUUAGAAAAUUGUAAAGAAGCUAUUUCUGAUAAAGGUAGUAGGGGAAAAGUAAUUGUGGUAGAUGUUGUGAUGAAUGCAAGUGAAGAUGAAGAAGAACUUACUGGACUAAAACUUCUCAUCGAUGUAAGGAUGAGAUGUUUCAUUAAUGGAAAAGAGAGAAAAGAAGAAGAGUGGAAGAAACUGUUUGUGGAAGCAGGAUUCCAAAGCUAUAAAAUAUCUCCAUUCACAGGAUAUCUCUCUCUUAUUCAGAUAUAUCCUUGAAUACUCACUAAACUUAUGAUGCAUUUCACAGUUACUUUGCAUGUUGUUUAUGACAAUCUUGUAAUGUUUAUUUUCUGGUACCAACAAAAUAAAUUGUUCAAAAUUGUGACAAAAAUUAAAAGAAGAAUCGAUAGAAAGCAAGAAUAAAAAAAUUAUGUCAUUUGAUUUGGUGUGUGAAAAUGUAUGUUGUGAAAGUGUAUGUUCUACUUCACUGUGACUUGUGAGCUUUAAAUUUUAUACUUUAUUAAUAUAAACUCUUUUCAAUGUUUUUUAUGGAAGAAACUAACCUUAUUGCUGGUAGAAAUUUGGUAAGAACAUGUUCAAACUCUUAGUAAGGGUGGUGCAGAUGUGCUUAAGGUAUGUGUAUAAAUAAUGAUUUAAUUGACUUAUAUAAAAAUUAAGUUGUUUUGGUUUGUUUCUUACUUUGAUUUUUGUUUCAAAUUUAGCUUUUUUUUUUCUUUUAAAAUGAGUUAUAAGAUUAGUAUAACCAAUUACAUCAAUUAUUUUUUUCUUCUCCACUUUAUAUAAAAGAUUAAAUUUUUAUAUUUUCUUAAUUCUUGUGUUUUUUUUGGUAUACUUUUAGAGGAAUUUAAAUUAACCAAAGUUGUGUCACUUAUCUACGACUUUCGUUGAAAUCGUAUGAAAUAGAAGUCAGGAGGGCUGAACGAAUUUGUUUAACUUCUAAAAUUAAGGCUUAAAUAAAGUCAUGUCAUCCAUGUAGGACUUUAGUUGUAUUAUUUUUACACUUAAUUUAUAUAAGACAUACAUGACUUAUGUGUGGUAAGUGAAAGAAGAAAUAAAACCUGGUGUUAACAUAAAGAACAAUGUUAAUGGUGUAGUCGUUGGAAUUUAAAUGUUAGGUUUUUAGGGUUAAUAGAUUGUAGGGAUUGAGGUUUAGUUCUAAGGUUAGAGUUAAGGUCUAAAUGUGUAGUGUUUAGGGUUGGGGAUGAUGUUAAUGUUUUAAGGCUUGUAAUUUAAAUAGUACAUUGCAUAUACUAAUUAUAUAUAUAAGUGAAAAGAAUAGAAAAAUUUAUAUGUAAUAAUACGCUAAUUUAUAAUUGUUUGUAAAUUAUGAUAUUAUCUAUAUUUGGUAAUUACAUGAAUGAGUUUAAUGACAUGUAAUUAUGCUAAAUAAAUAAUAUAAGAAAACAGACAUAUUAUGCUAAAUAAAUAAUAUAAGAAAACAGACAUGUGUUUGUUUAUAAAUGUCGAUACAAACAAUUGUUCCUACUGUGUCAUUUAUUUAUUUUUACAGUAAAAGCAUAUUUUUUAGUUUGUUUUGGUCUGACUCAUCCAUUUUGUUAUGGAUGCAUCUAAUUGUAGGUUUUCCAAAUUCUGUACGUCUCAUGUGGGAGUCUGAAAUGAAAUUCAGUCCAGUGUAAGCAUACCAGUAAUCCUCAUUUGGCAUUGGAUAAAUUUGGGCCUCAUAAGCCCUAUAAUUAAUCUGGAGACUUUCAAAUGGAUGAACAAACGUCUUUAGUUGCAAAUGACAAUAGGAACAGACAACAAUGACAUGAAGACAAGGGAGGCGAUGAACUUGAAACUCCCCACAGUGACACCACCAUUCAUUUAAUUUGACCGUAAACAAUAUAGGUUGGCGUCAGAGAUGGGGAUUGACUAUCUCCUGAAUAUCAAACUCCAAAUUUUCUCGAUUAUAUCCUAGCACAUGACAUAUGGCAUAUUGUUGGACUAUAAUCAUAGAUUAUUGGACUUUAAUAAUGAAUAAAUUCAUUGUUUUAAUUGAGAUGAAUCUUAUUGGUUUUAUUUAAUUAUUAUUUAUGUUAAUUUUGUAUUUUUAGAGUAGAAGAAAGUUUUGACCUUUGUGAGUGGACCGAAUAUGAGAAAGGUCAAGUUGUUUCUUUGAAUCAAAACAAAAAAUAAAAUUUAAGAAAAAUAAUAAGAGAAUAAAAUCUAUAAUAUCUCAAAGAUUCUACUGACGUGGGCAAUGACUCCAUCUGAACGUUUUAAUAAACUUCACAUUGAAAAUUUGUUUGCCAUGUAAAAAAAAUUUAACGUGUCAACGAUACAUUUCAACAUAUGUAAUCAUUCAAUUAAUUAUUUAGUAUAAUAUGAUAUUUAAAUAAAUAUUUGAUUCAAAUAUAAUAUAAGAGGAAAUAAAUAGACAUUGGAUGCCAAGAAAAAAAAAGAAAGUUAGAAGGAAAGAUAGAUUAUAGAAAACAUUUGACCGUGAUUGCUUAUGCUUCUAGUAUGCUUAAUGCUUUAUUCAAUUUAUCCAAAUUUGAAUCAAGCUAACUAAUUAGAUGAAGGCUUGUUUUUUCCUCUAAUACUGCAAUAUUUUUUUCCAAAAACUAAAUUACAAUUAAAAAGAUAGAUAAAGUUGCGAUCUAAUUAGUCAAUGUAAUUAACAUUGACCAAUAUUAUUAUAGGUAGUGAAUGUCGUUGCAAGAGAAGUAUACUAAUAUAUAAUACUUUUAGUGUUUAUGAGACGGAAAUUUCUUCUUGCACCCCUACAUUUUUUUUCUUGUAUUCCCAUAAGGUUGUGCAAAGACAAAAUUGUUCUUAUAUAAAACUGUACACUUAUUUUUUUGUAUUCCUGAUUAUAAAAUUCGAUAAAUUUUUGGAUUGACGUUUCUAGUAAAAUUUUGGAUUGACGCGUCCAGUAAUCUCCCGAAUUGGUGCUUUUGGUAGUACAUGAAUGACAGUGUUAAUCCAAAAUAAAAAAAAAUGCAGAACAUCCAUAAUUGAAAAAACCAUUCCAGAUCCGCCAAUCUAUAAUUCAAAAUAUGCAUUUUGGAUUCAGAAAUCCGUAAUUGAAAAAAAAAUCAUUCUGAAUCCACCAAUCCGUAAUAGAAAUUAGGCUUCUGGAUUCAACAAUCCGAAAAUCAACAAUUUAUGCAAACUUUAUUUCUGGAACACCCCCUCAUCUGGAAAUAAACAUGAUUCACUUCCGAAUUGAUGAAUCCGUAGCACACUUCCAGAUCCCAAAUUCAAAUAACAGGUGGAGGUCAAUUUCGAAAUUUACAAAAUUAUGGGAGUGCAUAAGAAAAAUGUAGUGGUACAGAAAGAAACUGCCUUAUGUGACACUGUCCAGAACUUGUGCCACGCAAGUGGGACACACCACCACGUAUAGAAGAGAAACAUGCAUCAUCAUACAAACAUCACAACUACCUAAUUGGAGUUAUGGAUCAUCCACCUCCUAGGUAGUUUUGGACUGUUUCUUCCUGCACCUUCAUAUCUUCUUCUGCCACCUUCAUACACAAUAUGAAAAUACAUUUUUAUCCUUUGUGUCACCCCCAUAGAGUAGUUUCCGGAUUAUGUAAUCCAGAAACUCAUUUGAAAAAAGACUUCCAAAUUACAUAAUCUGGAAGCUAAAUAAGACUUCCAGAUUAUGUAUUUCAGAAAGUAAUCAUGCAUAUGAAAAAAGACUUUCAGAUUAUAUAAUCCGGAAGUUAAUUACAAAUUUAAAAAAUGACUUCCAAAUUACGUAAUCUAAAAUAUUAUAGAGGACUAUUUUUGGAAAUUAAAAAAUUUAUAGAAGUGGAGAAAACAGUCGUAGUUUUGUUGUACCAACAUAUAAACCCAAUCAGAUCAAAUUCGGAAACACCAACAAUAACAAACCCAAAACUUAUUAAAAAUUUACUUUAUUAAUUAAAUGUAAUCCUACGUACAGACCAAUAAACCAAUCAACCCUCCAAUUCAAACUUCCAUUUUUCUUAUACUAUUUUACUUUUGAACUUUUCCAAUGUUUUUCUUAAACAGAUAUUAACCAAGAUUCCAUAAUCUUAAAAUAUUUUCAUUUGCGACAAAUAUAUAUGGUACCAAAUACAUGAGCACUUGCCGUCCACACGUUUACUUAAAAUAGAAAGGCCGGCAAUAUUCAGCCCAUUAAAUUAAAAAAUUUAACUCUGGAAAAAUUAUAUAAUUAAACUCUAUAAUUUAUUUGUACUCUCAGUAUAAAAGAUUUUGCGUUCAAGUUGAGUACUUAUGAUAUCAGCACUUUUCAAUUCAUUCACUGCAUUUUAAAUUGGUGGAAAGUUUAAAACUAGAGUUUCUAAGAUAUCAAUUAUAGCUUAUUGAAACUUUAUAAAAGGGCUGAAACACAACAAACACAACCAAAUCACAUGCAAUUAUGGUUUCAAAUGAUGGCAGUAAAGCAAGUGAAAUCUUUCGAGGUCAAGUUCACUUGUACAAACACUUGUUUGCCCAUACAAUAGAUGCUAUGAGUCUUAAAUGGAUGGUUGAGCUUAGCAUACCAGACAUAAUCCACAACCAUGGUCAACCUAUUACAUUUCAAAAGUUGGUGUCCAUUCUACAAGUUUCACCAACCAAAGUUAGAGGUGUGCAGAGUCUCAUACACUACCUAGCACACACUGGAUUCUUUGAGAUAGUUAGUGUCCAUGAGAAUAUGGAGGAAAAGGAAGCAUAUGCUCUAACUGCUGCAUCACAGCUUCUUGUCAAAGACAGUGACCUUUGUCUAGC
rnacentral:lncRNA from 1 species